rnacentral:lncRNA from 7 species
AAUUUUGGGUAUUACAGUACGACAACAGGGGGUGUUGGACUCUAGCAGGGGAAGCAUUGGGCCAGGGAGAAAUGGGGCGAGCUCCUGGCAGGGGGUGAGCUCGGCCAUGGCAAGAGCAGGGAAGGGGGCGCGCAUCCAGGUGUAGGAGAGUUGGGGAGGGGCGCUCGGUAGAGAGAGGAGCAGCCAUGGAUGGAGCUCGGAUGGGGGGAGGAAGAAGACCUGCUCAUCGGCCUGGGGAAGAAGGGCGUCGCCGAGCAGGACCAGGGGGAUGACGACCGACUGUGGGGAAGAAGGACCCUGCUGCAUGGGUACCGAGUGCCAUGACUGGCCGAGGGGAGGAAGUGGAGGAGCUAAGCUCCCUGGUGGCUGCUCGCCGUGGACAGCAGAGGGAGGGAGGAAGGGCUCCCUGGGAGAAGAAGGCAAGGAG